AUCACUUUUUACCAUAGUCACUGCCAACAAAAACCUUAAUUGGAUUAAUUAUAUCUAUUACAACCAACAGCGCUUCGUGAACUACACCAGGGAUGCCCUCCAGGGCUUGGCCGAGCAAUUACAGGCCACAUCCCAAAUGACCUUCGAGAACAGACUGGCCUUAGACAUGAUCUUAGCCGAAAAAGGGGGGUCUGUAAAAUACUUCCCGACACUAUGACUUGUUGCACUUACAUUCCAGAAAACACAGGUCCUAAUGGUAAAGUCACUCUGGCCAUAGCUAAAUUAAACAGACUCUCAGAAGAGUUAAAGAGACACUCUGGAGUUACUGAUCCCUGGGAAAAAUGGUUUGGUUGGAUGACUGGUUGGCAGAGAGCUUUAGUCCAGAUUGGUAUUGCCUUACUAAUUUUUCUUUUUAUUCUCACUCUUCUCAUUUGUUGUGUCCUCCCAUGCCUAAGGAAAUUCCUGCAGAAAACUGUAGACCAAGCAACACCAACCUUCACUCAUCUGACAAUCGAUGAUCAAGACCUCAUCUCACCCUGUAUUCCACUACAAACUCUCCCUUAUACUGAUGAAGUGCAGAAAGUCUAGGAAGGGACAGUACAGGGACAGCGUCCGUCUUUAUGGGUAGACUGCCGUACGGAGAAGUAGUGGAUAACCCACUAUGGGUUACCAGCGGAGUGAAGAGUGUUCCUGAACCGUACUGACGGAUGUGCUGCAGCCUGUUAGGGUCAAGAGAGGGAUAGACUUGCACUUUGCAUUAACACUAAGUCAGUGGUCAUGGGGUUUCUGUGUCUUUGGGCUAAUACUUCUUCUGAUACUAACAAAUAAAGUUUUGUCUUUUAGCAAAUAACAUUUUAGGGGGGACUGUUGUAGAAUUAUUAGGCCUCUAUAAAUCUGUAAGGCCCCUUUAAAUCCUCUUGUUAUACCUCUAAGAGGCCCCCAUAGUUUUACAAGGAAGCUUUGUCUAUAGAACAUAGAAUUUGCAUGUCAGCAAGAAAUAGCUUUGAUAAAAUGUGUAUUUACUAAAAUCCUUGAAACUUAACCUUGAGAAACUAACAAGUGCCAGCUACGCUCCAAAUGGAUAGCUGCCAAAAGGCCCCUCCCG